GACGAACCGUGCGAACGUUGUUCGGAAUCACUGGGCUUAAAGGGCGCGUAGGCGGGCUGUCAAGUCUGGGGUGAAAUGCCGCGGCUCAACGGUGGAACUGCUCGGUAUACUGCGGGUCUUGAGCUGUCUAGGGGCGACCGGAACAAGCGGUGGAGCGGUGAAAUGCGUAGAUAUCGCUUGGAACGCCAGUGGUGAAAACGGGUCGCUGGGGACAUGCUGACGCUGAGACACGAAAGCCAGGGGAGCGAACGGG
rnacentral:rRNA from 1 species